rnacentral:misc_RNA from 1 species
UAAUAAGUGCUUUAUGGCACUUUUUAAAUCCAUAUCCACCUUGUGUGCAAUGUCAGUCGGUUUUCUUUUUCGUCAAGAAAAAAGGAUCGACCAAACAUCAACUUAUUCUAAUUGAACUUUUGUCUGAAAACUAUUAUGAAUAAACUAAUUCAAAAUA